rnacentral:misc_RNA from 1 species
GAAUAAAACUUGGCAAAAUUAAUUGUAAUCUUUAGAUGUGUCGGUUCUAUAUUGAUCCUCGCUUCUUUCCUGCAGUGGGAACUUUAUCCAGGGCUACUACACAUGCUCACUUAGUGGCCUCAACAAAGAUUCGUUCUUUUUGGUUCGGAAGCAGUCGAACAUAACCGUGUGGUGCUCCAGGCUAACAGAAGCUCAUUGCGAUGACUUCACAAACCAGGAGACCGCCCAUGACGAUGACUUGGGAGACAUGCCAUUGACGCCCAUUAUAUGUAUGAAAGGACCAGGUCUCUUUGAGGCAGAAAUGUUCACUGUCUGUGUGGAUGGUGUUGCUAUCUUGACUACUCAGCGGGCUGCAGCUUUCAAAGCCAUGUUUCUCUUAUACUUCGUUCUUAACAUCGAGUAUCCACCUGAAGUGGCUUUGACAUUGGAGUUUGUGCAGAGGUGAGGUCUUGUU